GAGUGCAUGAUAACUUGAUAAGUGCAUGGUGAACUUGAUUAGUGAACAUAGGGGUUGUUUGUUUGGGAUUAUAUAAUCUGGGCAGAUUAUAAAUUAUAAUCCCAAACAAACAGGCCCAUAAAUGGUCCAAACUGUAAUUUGACUUAUGCUAUCCCUGGGCCUCUUGUUGAGUGAUCACAAAACUUCACCCCGGAUCUUUACUGAUUUAGCUCCUUUCUUGAACUUUGCAUCUUAUCUUUUAAUCAAUCCUGUUCUUAUGACACCUAUUUGUUUAUUGCACAUUUGCAUUCUUAAUUUUACAACCCAUUUGUCUUCUACACACUAAAACUAUCAUAAUUUGUCUUCUAGGUUUCUUUUUAAUGAGCUGUGCGAUCUUUGCACUUUUUGUAUGCGUCUAUUAUGGCAGCGCUUCUUUUGUGUAACCGCCUCAACAGAUCUGAUCAUCUGAAGUGCCAUUUCCCUCUGAUUUUUUUGUUUAAUAUUUUGUUCUCGUUGCAGUGAAGUACCUUUUUCCUCUGGAUUCACGACUUAGCUGACAUCUUCUAAAGAUUGCGUAAGAUUCCAGAUGUACAGGUGGUGACUUGUGUUGAACGAUUUGACCAAGAGAUGUUUACUUCAGUUGUGGCUACCCAAUACAAAAAGGUCGGCAAAAUAAACUAUCACUGAGAGCAUAAGAGGGUUUGUCUUUGUAAUCCUUGUGAUGGUGACGUAGCUCGUAGGUGAUUGAAAUGUAUCAUUCCCAGAGCUGAGAUGUACUCACUCCGUUCCAAAUUAAAAUUCGUUUUUCUUUUUAUUAGAU
rnacentral:lncRNA from 7 species